rnacentral:rRNA from 1 species
UACGUAGGGGGCAAGCGUUAUCCGGAAUGAUUGGGCGUAAAGCGUCCGCAGGUGGCUAUGUAAGUCUGCUGUUAAAGAGUGAGGCUCAACCUCAUAAGAGCAGUGGAAACUACAUGGCUAGAGUGCGUUCGGGGCAGAGGGAAUUCCUGGUGUAGCGGUGAAAUGCGCAGAUAUCGGGAAGAACACCCGUGGCGAAGGCGGCUCUCUGGGACGGUACUGACGCUGAGACGCGAAAGCGUGGGGAGCGAACAGG